AGAGUUUGAUUCCUGGCUCAGAGCGAACGCUGGCGGCAGGCCUAACACAUGCAAGUCGAACGAACUCUUCGGAGUUAGUGGCGGACGGGUGAGUAACACGUGGGAACGUGCCUUUAGGUUCGGAAUAACUCAGGGAAACUUGUGCUAAUACCGAAUGUGCCCUUCGGGGGAAAGAUUUAUCGCCUUUAGAGCGGCCCGCGUCUGAUUAGCUAGUUGGUGAGGUAAUGGCUCACCAAGGCGACGAUCAGUAGCUGGUCUGAGAGGAUGAUCAGCCACAUUGGGACUGAGACACGGCCCAAACUCCUACGGGAGGCAGCAGUGGGGAAUCUUGCGCAAUGGGCGAAAGCCUGACGCAGCCAUGCCGCGUGAAUGAUGAAGGUCUUAGGAUUGUAAAAUUCUUUCACCGGGGACGAUAAUGACGGUACCCGGAGAAGAAGCCCCGGCUAACUUCGUGCCAGCAGCCGCGGUAAUACGAAGGGGGCUAGCGUUGCUCGGAAUUACUGGGCGUAAAGGGAGCGUAGGCGGACAUUUAAGUCAGGGGUGAAAUCCCGGGGCUCAACCUCGGAAUUGCCUUUGAUACUGGGUGUCUUGAGUAUGAGAGAGGUGUGUGGAACUCCGAGUGUAGAGGUGAAAUUCGUAGAUAUUCGGAAGAACACCAGUGGCGAAGGCGACACACUGGCUCAUUACUGACGCUGAGGCUCGAAAGCGUGGGGAGCAAACAGGAUUAGAUACCCUGGUAGUCCACGCCGUAAACGAUGAUUGCUAGUUGUCGGGAUGCAUGCAUUUCGGUGACGCAGCUAACGCAUUAAGCAAUCCGCCUGGGGAGUACGGUCGCAAGAUUAAAACUCAAAGGAAUUGACAGGGGCCCGCACAAGCGGUAAGCAUGUGGUUUAAUUCGAAGCAACGCGCACAAGCUUACCACCUUUUGACAUGCCUGGACCGCCACGGAGACGUGACUUUCCUUCGGGGACUGGACAAGGUGCUUGCAUGGCUGUCGACAGCUCGUGUCGUGAAAAUGAUGGGUU
rnacentral:rRNA from 1 species